GCCGGAUUGGCCAAGCGGUAAGGCAUCCAACUUGUAUACAGGCACUUUAGCAGUGUCCGAAUGCUGAAAUUGGGAGAUCACUCGUUCGAACCGGGUAUUCGGCA